CGAUGGAGACUAUUUAGCCGCGCCCGCCGCCCCCUCCCACGUGACCACCCGCGCCGGGCAUCCUGGGACUUGUAGUUUCCUGGAGCCGACAGCUCUGGGAAAGCCUGGGGGCCGGCGGGCUUUCGGGACCGCAAUUCCCAGCAGGAAGUUUGCGGUCCAGUGCCGACCAGCAGGACUGGGAACGGUCCAGUGGCGUCGCCGAGGGGUUGGUGCUGGGAGAUGAUCUCCAUCAGUCAACCUCGAGGCCCCGGGUAAUGUAAGUAAAAUCGGGAUGUAGGAGUUCAACAAGCCCAGCUUUCGACUUCACGGUCGCCUCUCAGCACCUCCUGCAUCGAAAUUCCAGGACCCCCUGCACCGCGUUGCAGGAGCCGUGUUAGUCCCCACCAAGGUUCGAGGUGGGAGCCUACCUACCCCCCAGGUUGGGCCCCCUUCCGAUUCCCUAGCGCGGCGGUUUUCAAACUCUAGCGUCCAUCUCCCGGAAGGCUUGAUAAACACAGAUUGACAGACUCGCAGUUUCUUUUUAAGCAGGUCUGGGGCGUGACCUCAGAAUUUGCAAAUCUAGUAAGCUCCCAGGUAAGUCUGAUGCUGAUGGUCUGGGACCACGCUUCAGAACCACUGCUCACCUUCACCUGGGGCCUGGCAUCUAGUGGGUGUCAGGUAUGUGUCAACUGAAUAUACCAGAAAAACAGCCUGUCAACUUGGACACAGAACCUCGAACAGGACAGGUGCCAGAUAUAAAUCGAAGAUGUGCUCACCAAAUAGGUUAAUUGAUGUAGAGUCGGGUACCAGAACUGUAAUGCCUUCCUAUCAAGCUACGCACAGGAAAAUAAACCUAAGACUCUGGCUUACCUAGGCAGUCCCACUUGGUUGGCUUUCUGGAAGCAAAGGGAUAGACUAAAAUUUAGGGAUUCUUAACCUUUUUUUUUUUUUUUUAUGCCAUGGCAGUCUUGCGAAGCCUAUAGACCCCUUCUAAGAAUAUGCUUUAAGUGCAUGAAAUAAAACAUUUAAGGUUACAAAGGAAAUUGUACUGAAUUGAAAUUGUAUUGAAAUGAAAAGCAACACAUUGGUAGCAUAGUAUUGUUUCUUUACUAACGCAUUAAUUAACAAGGUCUAGCAGCAAGUCUAACUAUUAGAAUUUCAAAAGGUGCUAGCUAAAAGAUAUUUCGAGAUGUCUGAAACAUCAGAAAUGUAAUAUGAAAAUAUCUGUGACUUCUAUUCGUGCAAAGUGACAGGUCCUUCUAAAAUAUUAUUGUGAUGUUGCCAGUGUUCAUAAUGGAGGAAAUGCUAAACUGUGCUUAGAUAUUAGAUGUAGGUAUAAUCUUUUUUCUCAUCCAAUUUUAGGAAUCUUCUCCUACCCCCACCCCCGACCCUGCAAUUUAUCCAUGGACCAAAGAUCUGCAGACCCCAGGUUAAGAAUAUCUGGAUUUAAUAAUCUUUCAUGAUUAACGAUAAUAGGUAUUAUUUAUUGAGUGCUUACUUUUUGCCUGUUGUAAGACUUCUCGCAAUAUUAUUAAUCUUCAUAGCCAUUCUAUGAUGUAGUUAUUAUUCUGUUUAGCAGAUGUAGAAAUGGAGGCUUUCAAAGGUUAUAUAAUUUGCCUAAAAAAAAUCAGAUUCUUAACUCCCAGAAAUCUAACUAUGUUUUUGGUCUUCUAGUCCUGAUUUAAAUGAAUAAUAUGUUUAUUAUCCAAACUAAGGUAUAAAGUUUUAGAGCUGGUUAUGAAACAGAGAAUCAAAAUUUUUUGAUUACAGCUACAACGGUUUUUGUUUUUUGGUCUUAUACUUUUAUAAGCACAUUUUAAUUUUUAAUAUCUUUCUAGAUGAAGUAUAGAAUAAACAAAAUUCAUCUGUUUCUGUUUUCUUUCUUCCUAGAUGUCCAAAACCAUUUUAUAUUACAUUGUUUCUUAGAAGGAGCCAAAGAAACAGAAGUUUUUUUUAAAAAUCCAGAAACCUUAGGGUUUUCAUGGUCAUUAUCCCUGUCAGGAGAACUCAUCCUUUCUUAGACCUGUUAUUUACAUCAGAAACCCCCAGGAGCUCAUACAUCUUCAAUCAAAGCCAAUUAUGAAUACAAGUCAGAUGCAAUUGUGAUUAUUAUCUUAAAAACUCUCCUGGCUCUCUGGUCAUUCAUAGACUUCGUUAGACUUGCACUGUCCAAUACGAGAAACUACUAGCCACAAUGUGGCCAUUGAGUGCUUACAGUGUUUCUGGUCCUCAUUGCUAUAUUCUCCAAGUUUAAAGAACACACUGACCUUUCAAAGAUUUAAGUUGUCUCAAUUUCACCUCUUUCUUUUUACUUUUUAAAAUGUUGCUCCUAGACUAUUUCGUGGCCCUCGUACUAUUUUUAUUAGCACUGGCUUAAAAGUGAGAGGAUUUGACCUAUAUAUAAAGUUAUAAAAGGAAUAAAUUAAAGUAUUUAAAACCUAGUAUUUUUAGUUCUAAAUGGUACCAGCCUAGUUUAAGGUGAUGAUUUCCUGCCUUAUUUCAGAAGGAGUUUAGAUCACUUGCAGAGAACAGUAGUAUUGACUAAAGGAAUCAGGGAAGAUUUAUAAAAAAAAAAAAGUAGAAUAGUUGAAAAAUAAAAGCCCCCAGAGCUAGAGAUAGACCCCAAAUCUGGCUCUUACUUUCUCAAUGGUUAUGACAAAGAAAAAGUCUACUAGAAAAUCCCUCUGUCUACGGGAUGAGAACAUACCAGUUGCGCAGGAGGAAUGACUUUGCCUGGCCCUGAACCACAGGAGAUGAUUUUCUUGGGCCCUCAUAAAGGGGACACUGUGAUGUAUUGGACAGCAUCCUAGCAGCCUGCCUACCAUGAGGACAAUGGUGGGUUUUAUGCAACUGUUUCUUAUAUCUGCAAGUCAUGAAGACAUGCUUUCAGAUUUGGUCCUCAGCCAUCCAUAGGUUGCCUGUCGUGGCGGGCAUGUGAUAAUGUCCCACUCAGAUUUCCUGCUUCAGUGAGCGUAAUUGACCAACAGCCCCAGCUGCUGUACUCUGAAUUCAGCAUUGGUGAUGCCACACUUCCCAUUGGCUGCUCUCAGCCAAUAACUGAGUGCAGCCAAGAUCCUAAUGUAGCCCUGUGAUGGGCGGCUCUCCUCAAGAACUCUCCAUUGGCCUGGCUGAACUUUCUUAGACUUAUGCUGUAGAUAAGACUCUUCUUAUUCAGCCCUUCUUUCUCCUUCACAGGGUCACCUCCUCUGGCUCCUUCCUCUUUCCUCACAGGUGUUUUCCCCAAUUAAUGUCUUGUACAUCUAAUCCCAUUUGAAUGUCUGCUUCUCAAAGGACCCAAAUUGAUGCUCCUUAUUCCAUAGUGGUUGAUGAGGGGACAAUAAGUAGGAGGAAAGUUCUAGGCUUUUUCUCCAAACCCUAAAAUCUAGUGAGCUGUGCUAGAUGCAUGAGGCUAAUGGAAAUUUUGCCUCAAGGCUUAAGGCCUUCAAUAUAAAAGUGCAGGCAGCUUUUUCUUCUCCUGGGCGUGCACUCUAAAAUAAGCCCUUUGCAACUUGCAUAUAUGAUGGUAAGAAUACUUUCCAGGUGAAAUACCUCUAAAUUUAAAACGAUAGGUCCAAUUUUUUUUAUUUUAUUUUGAAAAAGUGCAGUAAAUACUAUGUUUCUAGACCCUUUGGACAUCCUGAUGUUCAGGUCAGUUAGAAAAAGUCUGUAAAAAUCUCAGCUUAUAUCAUGAGUACUUGAUUAUUAUAAUACCAAUGUGUGAUACAAAUAAAAUGUUUGAAACAUUACAUAUAUGAUAAGGACUUAAUUCCUUUAUCAUUGAGCAUAGUAGAGUUUGGUUACAGCAGAACUUAUUAUUAAGAAUAUUUACAUACGUCAAAAGUAAAAUCAUGUCCCCAGAAACCUACUUAAUUACAGUGGCAACUUGAAUGAUAGGUCACUAAUGUAACUGGUUAUAAAAGGUUACACUGUCUUUAGAGAGCAGAGAAUAGUCACUGGCUGAAGAUGAUUAACUCAGCAUCUUCAUUAUCAAAAAGUCCCUAACAAUAUCAGAAAAGAUACAUUUUUUGGAAGAAUAAAUUCAGCCUCGGACAAAAAGAUGUGCCAUCAGUGGAUCAGGUAUUUCCUUCCUCCUGAAGGAAAGGACAGAUGUAAACUAAUUGAUAGAGGAAACUGCAGGCUUAAACACUGGCUCCACUGGAUUCCUGAGGAUCAUGGGACAUCUUCAAAAUUCUGAUAUUUGAACCUGAAAUUCUAUAUGUAGACAAAACAAGGUGCAAGAUUUUUAAUCUGAAAUUUUAUAUUUAUGCAAAAUAGUAUGCAAGAUGGAAGGCAGAAUACAAGCAUUUACAAAACAUUCACGGACUCCGAAAGUUUACUCUCACAGUAUUGAUGACAUACUCCAGAAAUAUUAAAAACCCGAGGAGAAAGAUGUAAGAUGAAAGACAGGCAUGAAGAAAUCAGUAAAAAUUGCGAUUAUGUCUAAAUUAUAUUGAUAUGUAAUGAGGGUGAAAAAUUCUAUGGGUAAUUCCUAGAAGAAUAGAAAUUCCAUGCAUGUUUCAACCCAACUAAAGGGAAGAGGGAUAAAAGAGUAACAAGAAAUCAUAUAGUAAUUUAAAAACAUUAAAUCAUAAUAAAGAAGUAAAAAGUACAUAAUUCAGUAA